rnacentral:rRNA from 1 species
AAAAACAUUUCUUAAAAUGUUUUUUUAAGUAAAAUCUGCUCAAUGUAAAAUAAAUAGCCGCAAUAUAAUUAUUGUGCUAAGGUAGCAUAAUCAUUAGCCUUUUAAUUAAGGGCUGGAAUGAACGAUUUAACACUUAAAUUUCUUUUUUUUAGAAAGGUAUUUAAUUUAAAUUAAACAUAAAAAUGUGUUUAUAAACUAAAAAGACGAUAAGACCCUAUUGAACUUUACUUAAGUUUAGCUGGGGAAGCUAGUUAAAAACUAUUUUAACUAUAGUAAAAAUGUAAAUAACCUCUAAGAGAGAGAUUUAAACAAGUUACCAUAGGGAUAACAGCGUAAUAUUUUUUUAAAGUUCUUAUAAAAAAAAAAGAGUGCGACCUCCAUG